AUGGAAAUGGAUUUUGGUGUGAUAUCAGUUGGUAGUACUGUCCCUGGCAAACAGACGCAUAACUGUGCAUUGUUCUUUGGGAUUUUGAGAGCCUUCAUCUCAAUUUCAACUUUAAAGCAGCUUAAUCUUUAAGGAACAUAUCUCUGAUCUGGGUAAUUUGUAGAACUUAAUUUGAGGGUCAUUACAUGUGAGGAUAGCAGGAGUUGAAGAUGCCAAGGACCUGAAGGGCUACUGGAGGGACAGGUGAAGUGAUUUGAAGAUGUAGCAUUUUGAAUCUCUUUCUGGCCCAUCCUCUGCUUCACACCAGAAUCAUUGUGACCUGUAGACCUGCAAAACAAAGGACCAAAGGUUAGCAUGCAGAAGUGAAAGUGUCAAUAAUAACCAAACCACUCCAUCAAGUUAGGUCUGGGGAAAAGCAGCAGCAAAAAUGAGUUCUUACUUCUGGGCACAAAAUGAAAGUAACAGACCUGAUUUACUCUGCGGGCAGCCAGCUGACUACCUUGUUGAAGAGAAACAUUUCACAACGCUUGUAUGCUUCAUUGUUGUUUUGGGAGGUGCACCAAAUUGUCUACCCUCUUCUAAGAACAUCAAGUUUUUCACUUUAUUCUUACUUUUCACCUUUAAUUAUAUUUAUGGUUGCUUUGGAUGUAGAAUUUUAUACACUCAAGAAAAUGUUUUGGCAGGUUGAUAAUUUCUGCUUCUUUUUAAAAACUAGUUUAGUCCAUUAGUAUUUAUUGUAAUUAAAAAUAGAUUUAGAAGAGAAAAGAUUUGAACAGAUUUGGGACACCAAGGAAGAUAUAUGGAUGGAAUAAAAGCACUUGGAAAGACGCUCAACAUCCUAAGUCAUUAGAGAAAUACACACUAAAACCACAAUGAGAUACCACUGUGUACCUAUUGGAAUAGCAACAACAAACCUGUUAAUGCCAAGUGCUGGUGAAGAUAUGAAGACAAUGAAACUUGCAUACAUUGUUGGUGAGAAUGCAAAAUGGUACAACCACUUUGGGAAACAGUUUGGGAGUUUCUUAUAAAGUUAAAUAUAUACUUGCCACAUGACUCACCAAUCUCACUCCUGUGUAUUUACCCAAGAGACAUGAAAACUUAUGUUUACAAAACCUUUAUAUGAAUCUGUAUAGCAGCUUUAUUUAUAAUCUCAAAUGUCUGGAAACAAACAUUCUUCCAUUGGUGAAUGAAUAAACAAAUCGUGGAACAUCUUUCAAUGAAAUAUUACUCAGCAAUAAAAAAGGAAUGGAGUAUCGAUAGGCACAACAAGGAAGAAUUUAAAAUGCAUUGUGCUAAGAGAAAUAAGCCAGCCUCCAAGGGGUACAUACAAAUUAUAAAAUUACAUUCAUAGACCUUCUAAAAAUGGCAAAACUGUAGGUCUGGAGAACAUCAUUGGUUGCUAGGGAAUGGUGUUGGGGAAAAGAAUUGACCACAAAGAUAUAGCAUGAGGAAAUUUUUGGGAGUGAUGUAUCUGUUUUGUUUCUUAGUUGUGGUGUGAUUACAUAACUGUAUGCAUUUAUCAAAACUCAUAUAACUGUACACCAAAAGAGUAGAUUUUACUGUUUAUAAAUUGAAAAUAAAGUUUUUAAAAGAAAUAUAUUUUGACUUUUUCUCACAUAUUAUUU
rnacentral:lncRNA from 1 species